CAAGACCUGCACUUUUGGAGCGGCCGAUGUCUGAUUAGCUAGUUGGUGGGGUAAUGGCCUACCAAAGCUUCGAUCAGUAGCUGGUCUGAGAGGACGGCCAGCCACACUGGGACUGAGACACGGCCCAGACUCCUACGGGAGGCAGCAGUGGGGAAUUUUGGACAAUGGGCGCAAGCCUGAUCCAGCCAUGCCGCGUGAGUGAAGAAGGCCUUCGGGUUGUAAAGCUCUUUCAGUCGGGAAGAAAAGGUUGCGACUAAUAAUCGCAAUUCAUGACGGUACCGAAAGAAGAAGCACCGGCUAACUACGUGCCAGCAGCCGCGGUAAUACGUAGGGUGCGAGCGUUAAUCGGAAUUACUGGGCGUAAAGGGUGCGCAGGCGGUUUUGUAAGUCAGAUGUGAAAUCCCCGGGCUUAACCUGGGAACU
rnacentral:rRNA from 1 species